UCUACAAUUAUCUGGAUUAUCGUUAUCGGAACAGCUCUUCCCCAGAUUUUGUGUGAACUUUAGGUCCAUCAUGCUACCAAGACUGGUACUGCCAAUAAUUCUGCUACUCGUUGUUAUAGGUACGUUAUCAAAAGCUUGCGAUUUGGAUCAAAUGCAAUAUGGAUGUCGUAUCUAUAAUGCUCAAUGCAGAUGCGGUUACGGUUGUUCCUCCGAAUAUAGAUAUAGUACUAACGAUGAUUGCAAAGAAGCAUUAAGAGGUAGGCGUAGCGAUAUAUGUUAUAGAUCGAAACCUUGUUUGAAUGGGGGAUCAUGCUUGCAAAUAUCAUCAGAUCCUGGAUUUAAAUGUCGCUGCGAAGGAACUGGUUAUUACGGACCACACUGUGAUAAACGUUAGUAAUCAUCAUCGAUAAAUAAUAAUUAUGAUCAUAAAUUUUCCGGACAUUUGACCAAUUGCUUGCCCAGGACCAAAUAAUCAACGUUUCCGGGGACCAUUUCCUUACGAAUGUGUUGUGAUUUAAUUUGUAAUUUGCCUUCUUUUAAUCUAUCAAAAAUUAAAUACAUCCAGUAUGUUAAGUACAAAAAAUAAACAUAUUUUGCGAAAA